rnacentral:lncRNA from 1 species
CAUGCUUAUAUUGCUGUAUCUGAAAGCUUCAGUUUUAGAUACUAUUGGCAUCCUCUACGGAAGUUCAGCUGUCUAGUAACUUUGAUGCAACCAGCAUUCAGCAUUUACAUCAUCAUGUGCAUGCAUCUUAGUCAGCUUGGGCUGCUAUGAUAAAAUACGACGGACAGAGUGGCUUAUUACUCAUGGUUCUGGAGUCUAGAAGUCUGAGAUCAAGGUGCUGGCCGAUUCAGUUCCCGGUGAGGCUUGCAGAUGGCUGUCUUCUUGCUGUGUCUUCACGUGGUGGCGAGAGGGAGCUCUGGGGUCUCUUCUCUAAUGACCUCAUCCAAACCUAAUCACCUCCCAAAGACCCCACCUCCUAAUACCAUCACACUGGAGAGUUAAAAAUUGCUCAGGAUUCCAAGGAAUCUAUGGAGGAGGCUCAGCAGCAGCUGGAUGGCAGAGGCCCGGCUGCUACAGGAAGGUGAAAUAAGACAGAAGAAAAGGGUUAGAACUUUAGAACUCCAGGACCCAACCUCAGUCCUUUCAAGCACCGUCUGCAAACAGAUGCUGUGCUAGACUCAGCACCCUGUCUGGUGAAACUGCUCCUUGGGGUGACAUCGGUCGAAUGUGUGAGAGGCUUCAGCGGAUGCCCUGACUUUUACACCAUGGAAGGGCUUUCUCCUCACUCUCCAUUCUUCAUCCCACUCCAUCCAUGCGCUUUCUCCCCUCCCCAUGGGGUGGGGUGGGGGAGUCUUUCCUCCAGCUGAGAGCAGAGGCCUUGGCCAACUAGAUGUGUCUUCUGGGAUUUCACAGUCGGGCCACCUCUCACCUCUUGCACAGGCUGGUGGGUUAAAUGAAACUCCUGUAGCAACUCACAGAGCAUUUGAUUUAAAGCUAAGAUUUAUAGGAACUCACAAGUCAGAAUGGAACAAUAAUUUCCCUCCGGUUGCACUGCCACUACUGAGGAGCAAUCGCCUAAUUCCACACAGAGUUUGCUGAUUCUGUGGGCCUAACAGAGAACUCCAGAUGGGCAACUAGGAGCUAAGAAGUGCAUCCUAUGUCACCAGGAGCUAAUUUUCCCUGGAUUUUCAAAGAGGCCUCAUAUUUGACCCAUGUCAUGGCAGGGUGAAAUAUAAGUCCUUCCUGAACCCUUGGAAGCUGAACGUUGUGGACAUCAGCCAUGGGAAAUACAUUUCCUUUAAACUGAUCACCAGGCCUUAGUAUGAUCCAUGCCUUGAGUGGACAGAGACCUUUCAUGUUUGGUCAUUACUCAGCCAGACACUUCUCUGAGAGGUGAUGACUUCCCUAGGAAGGAAUAACAAAGCCCCUUUCAGGCUGUUGAUGGGCCCUGUCCACUUUAAUUUUGCAUUCAGCCUCGCUCAUUUCUGUGAGCUGAGAUUUUGAUUAUUCUGAUUUCCACGACUCCUUUUGUGAAACAGAGACACUGAGGUGAAUGCACGGGCCCAGUCCCCUCCUUUUUGAGUGUGCCCUCGGAAGCAGAGGCAGGUGGUGUUGCCGAAACACCCAGGUUCUGUCUAGGUCCUGCCGCUCCCUGCACAGAAAGCCAAUCACAGAGAUGACAAGUAUUGCCAAGGAAGAAGGCUUUAAUCAGGUGCUGUAGCUGAGAAGAUGGGAGCCCAGUCUCAAAUCCAUCUCCCCAUCCACCUAAAACUAGGGGUUUAUACACCAGGGAAGAAAGAUAACAGUGUGUAAGAAAACAGGAACUACGGAGGGGCAAGGAAGCAGUCACAAUGUAGGGUAUCUCAUUGUCUGGAUGUGUUGAUCUGGUGAGUUUCCCUUCUUUGAUGAUACUUUUUUUUUGAGAGGCGGUGGCUCAUGCCUGUAAUCCCAGCACUUUGGGAGGCUGAGGCGGGUGGAUCAUUUGAGGUCAGGAGUUCGAGACCAGCCUGGCCAACAUGGUGAAACCCCGUCUCUACUAAAAAUACAAAAAAAAUGAGCCAGGUGUGGUGGCGGGCACCUGUAGUCCCAGCAAUUCGGGAGGCUGAGGCACGAGAAUUGCUUGAACCCAGGAGGCAGAGGCUGCAGUGAGCCGAGAUUGCACCACUGCACUUCAGCCUGGCGACAGAGGGAGACCCUGACUCCAAAAAAAAAAAAAAAGGUAAGGUUCAGCCAGGUGUGUUGGCUGACGCCUGUAAUCCCAGCACUUUGGGAGGCCAGGUGGGUGGAUCACGAGGAUCACAAGGUCAAGAGAUGGAGAACAUCCUGGCAAACAUGGUGAAACCCCAUCUCUACUAAAAAUACAAAAAAUUAGCCGGGUGUGGUGGCAGGCACCUAUAGUCCCAGCUACUCGGGAGGCUGAGGCAGGAGAAUAUCACUUGAACCCGGGAGGUGGAGGUUGGAGUGAGCCAAGAGUGUGCCACUGCACUCCAGCCUGGAGACACAGUGAGACUCCAUCUCAAAAAAAAAAAAAAAAAAAAAAAAAAGGAAGGUUCAAACUUUAGAACCAGAAGGGUCAAUUUCUACGUUUAUCCAAAAAACUAUUUAUGGGACUAUUGGGUCAAUUUCAGUGGGAGGCCCCAGGGCCAUGCCCCAGAGGAAGAGACUGGCGUUUAGGGAAUGAAAGCACAGGGAAGUGAGGAACGUGGAGUAUUGCAGAGCCAAGCUGAGGGGCUAUGGCAAGAGAGGCGAAGAAGAAAGACAAAGCAGCAAGCCAGCAGGCAGAGGGAGGCACAGUGAGGCAAAAGCUGGUUCUGGAGCCACCAUGUAAGCAAAUUCAGCUCCUUUUACACCUGGCUCAGGCCACUUCAUGGAGCUAAGGUGGGGCCGGGUGCCCCAUCUUCAUCAUCCUGUACUCCUAGAUUCAUUGCAAAUAGUUUGUUCUGAGUUUUAGGGCCUUCUGGGAUGAAUGAGGGGGGUGGUACCCCAUUCUUUGCCCACCAUAAGCAGCAGAGAAGGCCUCCUCAAAAACCCUGGGGGCUUAGGUAAAACCCCUCUCCUGUACAGAGCACACUGUGAGUGUUCAAUAACCAGUCAUGGUUAGAUUAUCCAAAAGAUUAUCCAAAAGCCCAUGCAGGAGGAGAGGGUAUGAAAAGGGCAUGGGAAAUAUUACAGAGAAGUGAGGGGGCACAUUUAAAGAAAAAAGAAAAGGAGACAAGAAUGGGGCUUAGGUAGGUCUGACACUUGGUGGGGGCCAUUAGCCAGAGGACCCAGUGCUGGAGAGCUAUCCCUGGUUUGUGAGGAGUUACUGGUUAGAUAACCUCCCUAGAUUGGACUAUCCAGAAGGAUCAGCAUGGUACACGUAUGUUUUUUGUAAGAUAUUGUAAGACAUCAUUUGUUAGAUGUCAGAUCAAAAAGUAGUUUGUACCAAGUCAGGGCUCCCAACCUUCUCAAGUGUGAUGGCCAUCUUAUUUCUUGCCUGUUAACUCUUUUUAAUAGUGAAAUAUGACAAACAGAGGAAAGUGCAUUAAAACCUGAGUGUUGACUGCUGGUUCCCCCAAGAUGGAGAGUCCCAUUCCUCCCAGACACUCCCUCUUACAGGUAAAAUAUCUGGACAUAACACAACAGACAGCAGAAGAAGACUCUGAAAGCUGGAGGAAGGAAGAAAAAAAGCCUAGGGACCUCAGACCUUGAAGAAUGACAGGUGUGAGUCCUUGGAUUUCCUUAUCACCCCCCACCCCACCCCGCCCUUACCCUGGAUGAGGCACUGCAGAAGCCUCCAACCAGAAACCACCAGCAGGCACAGACAAGCUCUAAGAAAGGCCUGGUCCCCCCUGGUCAAAGCACAGAGGAAAGGCUGGCCUGACAACAAAAGGAAACCUUUUUGGCAAUACCCACCCUAUCCCAGCAAAAGUCUAGUGGGCCUAACAGAACCUUCUAGCCCCACCUGUAGCCUCUGCUCUGCAGAAGCUGAUUGAGUGCUUGAACUCUCUGGCCUAGUAGGGUGAGCACUCGAGCUGGGAGCUAAUCCUCUGUUCCCUUGGCAGGGCAAACCCAAAUGGGUAAACACAAAAAAAAUAAUUAAACUUCUUAACAUCAUAAACACCCAAAACUACAAACAAAGGAGAAAAUAUUGAAAGAACCAGAGAGAAAUGAAGCAUUAUUCAUGAGGAAUAUUUGUUUGAAUGACAGUGGAUUUCUCAUCUUGAAACCAUGGAGGCCAAAAGGAAGAGGCACAACAUUUUUCAAGUUGAAGAUAGAACUUAGAAUCACAAAUCCAAUAGCCACUGAAAACGCCCUUCAGGAAUGAAGGAGAAAUCAGACAUUCUCAGAUGAAAGAAAACUUAAGAGAACUUAUUGCCAACCUAGAAGAAAUGUGCUAAUGUCAAGAAAGCUACAAACUACCAAACUCAACGAGGAUGAUAGAGACAACCUGAAUAGUUCCAUAGCUGCUACAGAAAUUAAAGUUAUAAGCAAACGGCUCACAAAAAAGAAAUCUUCAGAUGAAAAUACUUUAAGGAGUAUUAAUACCAAUUUUACACACUCUAUCUCAGAAAGUAAAAGAAAGAACGUUUCCUGGCUCAUUGUAUAAGGCUAGUAUUACCCUGAUACCAAAAUCAGGAAAAUGCAGUACAGAAAAGAAAGUUAUAGACCACUAUCUCUAUAAAUUUAGACACAAAAUUUAUCAACAAAAUUUUGUAAACCUAAUACAGCAUCGUAUAUAAAAAAUUAUAUACACCAUGAUGAAGUGGGAUUUAUUCCAUAUAUGCAAGUUUGGUUCAAUAUUCCAGAAUCAGUCAAUGUAAUUUACUCUGUUAACCAGGUAAAGAAUAAAAAUGAUUAUAUCAUUUGAUGCAGAAAAAAAGAUUAACACAAUCCUAUGCCCAUUCACGGUAAAAAGUCUCAGCAGACUAGGAAUGGCGGGGAGUGGUGGGGACAAUCCUAAGUUGAGAAAGAGCAUCUAUUUAAAAACCUAGGCUGGGCACAGUAGCUCAUGCCUGUAGUCCCAACACUUUGAGAGGCUGAGAUGGGCGGAUUGCUUGAGCCCAGAAGUUCAAAACUAGCCUGGGCAACAUGGCAAAACCCCGUCUCUUCAAAAAAUACAAAAAUCAGGCUGGGCAAGGUGGCUCACACUUGUAAUCCCAACACUUUGGGAGGUGGAGGUGGGCAGAUCACUUGAGGUCAGGAGUUUCAGACCAGCCUGGCCAACAUGGUGAGACCUCGUCUCUAACAAACAAUACAAAAAUUAGCUGGGCAUGGUGGUG